AACAAACAUUAACAGUUUCAAUAUAUAUAUAUAUAUGUGUGGGAGGAUUUACGAAAAAAAAGACAUUUUGAAUUUCAUUUUUUUUUUAUCCAGGGACUAGUAUAAGAGACCAUGAUUCACCACACAGAGUUUGGCAACAGGUCCCGCCCAGCCGACCCUUGUCUUCCAUUACCGCAGUUUCCCCUGGAGACACCACUUCGAAUUCUUCACAAGAGCAGUCAAACACUUUGGAUUCAUUAAGUACAUUUAAAACGACGUUAGAGGAAUCUGGAUUUCCAUGUUGGAGGAUGUCCAUAGGAUCAAAUAACAGCAGCGGUGUUAGCAGUCCUCCUGGUUCCAGUCGGCACAGUUUGGUCGAGGACAGAGAACAGAUGACUGACGCAGCUGACCAACAACCUGGCUGGCUGACCAAGCAAAUUUUAUAAACUGAAUCGUACUUUGUUACAAACAGAAAAAUCUGUGGCUAUAUUGCUCUUUCACCUAGGAAUUCUUGAAGGGGGUAAAAAAAAAAAAUUACAUGAAAAACUCAACAACAAUACAACAAAUCAAAGACCUAUCUCUUACCAAAAUGUUUAAUAACAUCAAAACCUAUUAUAAGUUUUCUCAAGUUUUCUUACAUCUGUUAAAAAAGUCUGAGUUUGGUGUAUUAUUAUUA